rnacentral:rRNA from 1 species
UACGUAGGGUGCGAGCGUUGUCCGGAAUUACUGGGCGUAAAGAGCUCGUAGGUGGUUUGUCGCGUUGUUCGUGAAAACCGGGGGCUUAACCCUCGGCGUGCGGGCGAUACGGGCAGACUUGAGUACUGCAGGGGAGACUGGAAUUCCUGGUGUAGCGGUGGAAUGCGCAGAUAUCAGGAAGAACACCCGUGGCGAAGGCGGCUCUCUGGGACGUGACUGACGCUGAGACGCAAAAGCGUGGGGAGCGAACAGG